CUGUAUUUAAUUGCCAUAGUACACAUUCUGAAGGAAUGAAUAAUUUCUCACUCUUGAUUCUCAAAAGGAUGAGUAUAACUUAUAUAGAUACAAGGUUGACUAAGCUAUAAAUAAUUUAGGCCUAAAUCAAGGGAUCUAAUUACAGGCAGAUUUCUAGGGAAGAAAUAAGGAAAGAAGCAAAAUAUACAAUCAUACAAUUCAAUUACAAUAUUUACAAACAAAUUAUACUUGAAUAAUUUAGACAUAAUUUGUCAAAUCUUCUAACACUUACCCUCAAGCAGGUGCAAAGAUGUCUUGCAUUCUUAGUUUGUCUAAGAUUUGAUGAAAAACCAAAUUUGGUAAACCUUUGGUGCGGAUGUUUUCCAGCUGCCUAGUUGACAAGACAUAUGGUGUACAAAUUUAUUCCAAAUCCACUUUCUCUUUGAUUAAAUGUUGAUCAACUUCCACAUGUUUGGUGUGAUCAUGAUGGACUAGGUUAUGAUCCAUAUUUAUCCUUAUUGUCACAGUACAACAUCAUUGUCUCCUUUAUCUUAAUCUUAAGAUUUGUGAGUAUUAUUUUCAAUCAUAGUAGCUCACAAUUAUUAUGAGCCAUAACUUUAAACUUAGCUUCUUCACUAGAUCUGGUCACAAUAGGUUUUUUUUGCUUCUUCAAGUGACUAAAUUUCCACCUAGAAAUGUGCAAUGCUCAAUAGUUGAUCUUUUAUCCACCAUUGAACUUGCCUAAUCCGCAUCGGUAUAGGCUUCUAACUUGAAAUCAUUAUUCUUUUGAAACAUUAUUCCCUUGCUUGAGGCUGUCUUUAGAUAUCCAAUAAUUCUAUAUACAUCCUCCAUAUAAGAAUUAAUGGGAGAAUGCAUAAAUUGACUCAUCACACUUAUAGCAUAUGCUAUAUCAAGUCUAGUGUGUGAUUAGUGAAUUAGUUUCCCCCAUUAUUCUUUGGUAGAUGCCUCUGUCAGCCAAAGGUUCUUCAUUCUUUUCCUUUAGCUUGUGGUUCAAUCUAUAGGGAUAUUUAGCAAGUUUGCACCCUAGCAUGCCAAUUUCUUUGAGUAGAUCUUGUACAUAAAAAUUACCUUUUUUGAUCUUGCAACUUGUAUCCCUAAAAAGUAACUUAGACUACCCAAGUCCUUGAUCUUGAAUUCCUUUGCUGGAUAUGGCUUUAAUUCUCUAAUUUCUUCCAAGUUAUCACUGGUAACAAUGAUAUUAUCUACAUAGCAAUCAAAAUGAUUACUGUACUAAGAUGGGAGUAUUUGAAGAAUAGUGUUUGAUCACCUUGGCUUUGACGAUAGCCCUUCUUCACCAUUGACUUAGUGAUCUUCCAAACUAUGUUCAUGGGGAUUGCUUGAGCCCAUAGAGUGACUUUCUAAGUUUGCACACUUUGUCUGUCCAAUAUUUGUGUAUAAAUCCAAGGGGAACACCUAUGUAUACCUCCCCCUCUAGAUCUCCAUGAAGACAUUCUUUACAUCAAAUUGCUGGAAAGGUCAAUCAAAGUUAGCAACCAAAGAUAAUAAAAUUUUGAUAGUAUUUAUUUUUGCUAAUGGUGUAGAGGUUUCUUGGUAAUCUAUACCAUUGUUUGAGUGUACCCUUUAGCAACCAACCUUGCUUUGGACCUCUCUAUGGUUCCAUCAACCUUGUAUUUGAUGGUAUAGAUCCAUCUACAACCCACUGUUUUCUUCCCUUUAGGCAAGUCCAUAACCUCCUGAGUUUUAUUCUUUUCCAAGGCUUGUAGUUCUUCAUUUAUAGCAUCUUUCCAUGGUUUACUGUUUAAGGCCUCUUGGACUAUUUUGGGAUUUCCAUUGGAGGAAAAUGAGUGAUAAAGGCAUGGUUUUUUAUGACAAUCUCUGUAAGGACACAGAAUUUGAGAUAGGAUGUUGUGUGUUCUAAUUCCUUUCCUAAAAGCAAUAGGCAAAUCCAAAUCUCUAUUAGUGUCAAGACUAAAAUUAACAUUUCCAUUACCUGUCACAGUUUUAGACAUUGGAGCAUGUGUAGGUAUUGUGGACCUUUUUCACCGGGAAUACACAUUGAAUCAGGUGCUUCAGGUCUCUUGUGUUCAAUCUCAAGUGACUGAAUCUGCAAUGUAGGUUUUGAGGAAUUCGGGCUCUUGUCAAGACUUCAGGAACUUAAACUCUAUUCAAUUUCAAUGGACAAACUUUCAGGUUGAUUUUUUUGGAUUAGUCACUCUUAAAAGGAAUAGGAUGAGGAGAGUGGUCAUAAAUAUUAGACAAAUAAUUAUAAAUAUUAGACAAAUGAUCAUGAGAAUGCCCUAAGAAAAUGCAUUUGAGAGCCUUAUUAGUCCCUUGAAAAUUUGGAAAGAACUCUAAAAGAGUCUCUAUAGGAGAUUUGAAUGCAAGAACCCGAGAUGGCAUACGGUUGAUCAAGUAGGUGGCUGCUAGAAUGGCUUCACCCCAAUAGAUUUUAGGAACUUUCAUUUGGAAUAGAAGGGACUUGGUAACGAAAAGUUAGAGAAUUUCUUAGUUUUCCUAUUAAUAAAUUCAAAAUUCAAAUUCAAAUAUUAGGGAUAUUAGGGACUUUUUAGAUUUGUAUUUUUUGUUUAAAUAGUUCCUCUUUUCUAGGGAGGUUGAGUUUCUAGUGUCAGAUCUUCCUUUAUUUAUUCCAUGUAUUAUUCUGAUUUUAAUUUAAUGAAGAAAACUAUUUUUCUCCCCACGAAAACUUUCACCUAGCAACCUCUAUAAAAUGCCUAUUUUUUCUCUCAGCAACCCCAUUUUGUUAGGGAGUAUCAAUACAUGAUUUUUAUUUUGAAGAUAUGUAAUCAAGUCAUUAUUAAAGUAUUCCAUUCCAUUAUCAAAUCUAAGCAUUUAUUUUUUGACUCCAAAUUGUGUACUAAUGAGUUUAUCAAAGAUCGGAAAGGUGGAGACCUCAAAUUUUGAUUUUAAGAGAUAAACCCAAGUGGAUCAAAUGCUUUCAUCAAUAAAUUUGAGAAACCAUUGAUAACUUGAAUGAUUUGAAACAUGAGAAGGACCCCAAACAUUUGAAUGUAUCAAACUAAAUGGACAAAGGUAUCUAUAAUUUUUUAUUGGAAAUGAAACUCGAUGGUGCCUAGCAAGAAGACAUAUUUCACAAUGAAAAUUGAGUCAGUCAACGUUUUCAAACAAAGAUGGAAGCACCUUUUUCAACAACGGAAAUGGAGGAUGUAUUAGAUGGCUAUGACAAAUCCAAAUCUGUUCAAUUUUUGAAGGAGAGGUAGAGACCAAACCUUGAGACCUUAAAACACUAGUCUUCUGAUUAGUAUCUAGGUAUAGUCCAUCUUUUUCCUUAGCAUGCCCAAUCAUCCUCCCCGUUAUAGAAUCAUGAAAAGUGCAAUUAGAAGUGAAUAUAACCGAACAAUUCAAAUCUUUAGUAAUUUUUCCUAUGGACAAAAGGUUAUAGGAAAGAUUGGAAACAUGCAACAUGUCUUUUAGGGACAAAGUUGGGUUGAUUUUGACCGGGCCUUGACCAGCUAUAGAGGGAAAAGAUGCAUCAACAAUCUUUAUUUUUUGCCUUCCAGAACAUGUGGAGUAAGUGGAAAAUAAUUUUGAAAACUAAUCAUAUGAUCUGAUGUGCCUGAAUCAAUGAUCCAGGUUCUGGAUAAGCAGUCCUUAGAGACAUUCAUUGCAUGGAUAUUACUUGAUUGAUCCAUAGACCAAAAAGUUGAAGUUGGUAUAGAACUUGGAACUUGGAUUGUGAUUUUCAAGCUAAUUCUGCAACGAAGGCUAAGUACUCUUGAUUUUCAAGCUGACAGAUUUAAACUUGAUGAAAACAGGACUGACGUAAGGCUUGUCCAUGAAGGUUAAGCACAACAAUUGGCAAAAAAGCCCAAAGAAAAAAUGGCAGUGAAAGCCUAGAAGAAGAUAACACACUGCAGAAUUGUUACCUGCUCUGAUACCAUGAAGGAAUGAAUAAUCUCUCUCUAUUAAUUCUCAAAAAAGAUGAGUACAACUUAUAUAGAUACUAGGUUGAUUAGGCUAUCGCUAAUUUAGGACUAAAUCAAGGAACCUAAUCACAGGCAGAUUUCUAGGGAAGAAAUAAGGCAAGAAAUAAAAUAUACAACCAUACAAAUCAAUUACAAUAUUUACAAACAAAUUGUAGCCAUUCAACACUGGACAUAAUUUGUCAAAUCUUCCAACACAUUCUUUUGAUAUAUUUGAAGUGUAUGACUAGAGAGAAACUGGUUUUACAUUUUUGCCUCUUAGCAUGAGUUUGUGAUUCUAUCUUGUGAUUAUUGGCAUGCUAUUUGUCAUAACUGCCUUAAAGAUUAAUAGAUUUAUAAAGGCAUAAAAGAUUUCUUACCUAGUAUUUGAAUGCAUGUAAGAUAUUCUUGCGUCUCUAUCUGCUAUUCAUGAUAUAUUGGGCAAUACAUGGUCAUAAAUUUUAAUGGGAAUAACCAAUAUGAUAAAUAUCUGACUUUAGGUGUAUAUGAUGGCUUGGAAGCCUUUUCAGAUUUAAAUACCAUAUUUCUUAGUAUGGUGCAUGGAACUUUAUGGAAUGGAAAAAAAUCAGUUUUGUUUGGAUACUGAAUUAGGUUAAGGUGCUUCAGUGAUAUCCUCCUUGAAAAUCUUUUAUUUUGCCCAGAAAUAGAAAGCCAUGUCUAAAAGUCAUAUCAAUGCUCAACAGUAUCCUUGGAAUCUCAACCUGGAAUCCAUUGAAUCUUCAUCCAUUGAACACAGCAUCAUUGCAAAACCAUGACCAAGUCCACUGUUUGCCUUGAUUAAAUCCACAGCCACACAUGAAUUUUCUCACUAGUUAAAUAUGUAGCUUGUUUUUUACAAAAUGGUUUAAAAAAUUCUGAUAUUUUGAAUUCUCCAAAACAAAGUUCUUGAGAUAUUGAUCUCUUGGUUUGGGCUAAAAAUUGAUGAGAGAACUUAUUCUAGUAGGAUGUAGAAG